CGGGGCGUGGCGCAGUCUGGUAGCGCACCUCGUUUGGGACGAGGGGGUCGGAGGUUCGAAUCCUCUCGCCCCGACCA
rnacentral:tRNA from 2 species